UAUGGCCACAUCACAUUGAAACACUGGUUCCCAUACGAUUACUGAAGUUAAGCAAUGUUGAGUCUGGUCAGUACCCAGAUGGGUAACUGCUUGGGAAUAUUAGGUGAUGUAAG